rnacentral:rRNA from 1 species
AGAGUUUGAUCAUGGCUCAGAUUGAACGCUGGCGGCAGGCCUAACACAUGCAAGUCGAGCGGUAGCACAGAGAGCUUGCUCUCGGGUGACGAGCGGCGGACGGGUGAGUAAUGUCUGGGAAACUGCCUGAUGGAGGGGGAUAACUACUGGAAACGGUAGCUAAUACCGCAUAACGUCGCAAGACCAAAGAGGGGGACCUUCGGGCCUCUUGCCAUCAGAUGUGCCCAGAUGGGAUUAGCUAGUAGGUGGGGUAACGGCUCACCUAGGCGACGAUCCCUAGCUGGUCUGAGAGGAUGACCAGCCACACUGGAACUGAGACACGGUCCAGACUCCUACGGGAGGCAGCAGUGGGGAAUAUUGCACAAUGGGCGCAAGCCUGAUGCAGCCAUGCCGCGUGUAUGAAGAAGGCCUUCGGGUUGUAAAGUACUUUCAGCGGGGAGGAAGGUGUUGAGGUUAAUAACCUCAGCAAUUGACGUUACCCGCAGAAGAAGCACCGGCUAACUCCGUGCCAGCCGCCGCGGUAAUUC